rnacentral:rRNA from 1 species
GCUAUCUACAGGCUUAACACAUGCAAGUCGAGGGGCAGCAUGGUCUUAGCUUGCUAAGGCCGAUGGCGACCGGCGCACGGGUGAGUAACGCGUAUCCAACCUGCCUUACACUCUUGGACAGCCUUCUGAAAGGGAGAUUAAUACAAGAUGUUAUCAUGAGUAAGCAUUUUCACAUGAUUAAAGGUUUACCGGUGUAAGAUGGGGAUGCGUUCCAUUAGAUAGUAGGCGGGGUAACGGCCCACCUAGUCUUCGAUGGAUAGGGGUUCUGAGAGGAAGGUCCCCCACAUUGGAACUGAGACACGGUCCAAACUCCUACGGGAGGCAGCAGUGAGGAAUAUUGGUCAAUGGACGAGAGUCUGAACCAGCCAAGUAGCGUGAAGGAUGAAGGUUCUAUGGAUUGUAAACUUCUUUUAUACGGGAAUAAACGAAUCCACGUGUGGAUUUUUGCAUGUACCGUAUGAAUAAGGAUCGGCUAACUCCGUGCCAGCAGCCGCGGUAAUACGGAGGAUCCGAGCGUUAUCCGGAUUUAUUGGGUUUAAAGGGAGCGUAGAUGGGUUGUUAAGUCAGUUGUGAAAGUUUGCGGCUCAACCGUAAAAUUGCAAUUGAUACUGGCAGUCUUGAGUACAGUUGAGGUAGGCGGAAUUCGUGGUGUAGCAGUGAAAUGCUUAGAUAUCACGAAGAACUCCGAUUGCGAAGGCAGCUUACUAACCUGUAACUGACAUUGAUGCUCGAAAGUGUGGGUAUCAAACAGGAUUAGAUACCCUGGUAGUCCACACGGUAAACGAUGAAUACUCGCUGUAGGCGAUAUACAGUCUGCGGCCAAGCGAAAGCAUUAAGUAUUCCACCUGGGGAGUACGCCGGCAACGGUGAAACUCAAAGGAAUUGACGGGGGCCCGCACAAGCGGAGGAACAUGUGGUUUAAUUCGAUGAUACGCGAGGAACCUUACCCGGGCUUAAAUUGCAACCGAAUAUGGCGGAAACGCUAUAGCUAGCAAUAGCGGUUGUGAAGGUGCUGCAUGGUUGUCGUCAGCUCGUGCCGUGAGGUGUCGGCUUAAGUGCCAUAACGAGCGCAACCCUUGCCGAUAGUUACUAACAGGUCAUGCUGAGGACUCUGUCGGGACUGCCAUCGUAAGAUGUGAGGAAGGUGGGGAUGACGUCAAAUCAGCACGGCCCUUACGUCCGGGGCUACACACGUGUUACAAUGGGGGGUACGGAGGGCUGCUACCACGCAAGUGGAUGCCAAUCCCAAAAACCUCUCUCAGUUCGGAUUGAAGUCUGCAACCCGACUUCAUGAAGCUGGAUUCGCUAGUAAUCGCGCAUCAGCCACGGCGCGGUGAAUACGUUCCCGGGCCUUGUACACACCGCCCGUCAAGCCAUGGGAGCCGGGGGUACCUGAAGUGCGUAACCGCAAGGAGCGCCCUAGGGUAAAACUGGUGACUGG